rnacentral:rRNA from 1 species
GCCAGCAGCUAGCUUUCACCUGGUCACCCACUGAAGCCAAGCGGGGCUGAGCUUAGUUAGUUCCUGGAUGGGAGACCACAUGGGAAAGCUAAGUUGCGGUUGGGA